rnacentral:rRNA from 1 species
UACCAGCACCCCGAGUGGUCGGGACGAUUAUUGGGCCUAAAACAUCCGUAGCCGGUUCUACAAGUCUUCCGUUAAAUCCACCUGCUUAACAGAUGGGCUGCGGAGGAUACUAUAGAGCUAGGAGGCGGGAGAGGCAAGCGGUACUUAGUGGGUAGGGGUAAAAUCCGUUGAUCCAUUGAAGACCACCAGUGGCGAAGGCGGCUUGCCAGAACGCACUCGACGGUGAGGGAUGAAAGCUGGGGGAGCAAACCGG